rnacentral:rRNA from 1 species
AUGAACGCUAGCGGCAGGCUUAAUACAUGCAAGUUGAGGGGCAGCAUGAUAUACGCGAGUAUAUUGUGGCGACCGGCGGACGGGUGAGUAAUAGGUAGGAGACCUACCUCAUACAGGGGGAUAGCAUAGAGAAAUCUGUGGUAAUACCCCAUGAGGUUAUAUGAAUAGAGGCAUAUAAUCAAAGCAUAAGCGAUUAUGCGGUAUGAGAGGGGCCUACUGACCAUUAGCUAGUUGGUGAGGUAAGGGCUCACCAAGGCGAAGAUGGUUAGGGGUUUUGAGAGAGAGACCCCCCACAUUGGAACUGAGAGACGGUCCAGACUCCUACGGGAGGCAGCAGUAGGGAAUAUUGGGCAAUGGGCGAAAGCCUGACCCAGCCAUGCCGCGUGAAGGAAGACGGCCUUAUGGGUUGUAAACUUCUUUACUACGCGAAUAGAGGUUAGUACGAGAUACUAAUAGGAAGGUAGUGUAGUAAAAAGCACCGGCUAACUCCGUG